rnacentral:rRNA from 1 species
CCUACGGGAGGCAGCAGUGGGGGAUAUUGCACAAUGGGGGGAACCCUGAUGCAGCGACGCCGCGUGGGUGAAGGAGCGUUUCGGCGCGUAAAGCUCUAUCGGCAGGGAAGAAGAUGACGGUACCUGACCAAGAAGCCCCGGCUAACUACGUGCCAGCAGCCGCGGGUAUACGUAGGGGGCAAGCGUUAUACGGAUUUACUGGGUGUAAAGGGGGCGUAGACGGUAAUGCAAGCCAGGAGUGAAAGGCCGGGGGCCAACCCCGGGACUGCUCUUGAAACUGGCUGGCUGGAGUAGGGGAGGGGCAGGCGGAAUGCGUAGUGUAGCGGUGAAAUGCGUAGAUAUUAGGAGGAACACCGGUGGCGAAGGCGGCCUGCUGGCCUGUGACUGACGUUGAGGCACGAAAGCGUGGGGAGCAAACAGGAUUAGAUACCCGAGUAGUC